CAUUACUCAUUCAUCGUUUAUGAUUCGGAUUACACGGUUUUUAGACCAAUUCCUAUCUUAAUUUUUUACAGCGCUUUACAUGGAUUCGUCUUUCGGGGCAUAGUUUGACUCAUUCGGCGUUUAUCUUUCUGUUUAUACCUAACUUUUUAUACCUUAAAUUACGAGACGCUUUGUUUGGAUUAUUCUUUCGUGGAGUUAAUUUAUUUCAUUCGUCGCCCUUUAUUUCGGUUAAACCAAUUUUUACUUCAACAUUUUGAAAUUCUAUUCAAGAUUUGUUUAAUGUUUUAGAGUAUACGCUUUUAUACUAGUUUUUAAUCUUUUCAUCAUUCGUAUUGUAGUUAUACGUCUUGUUUGCUUUACUGUCACUAUUUGCCUAUUUUUUAUGUCUUCGGGCUUGUUUUAGCUAUGUAUGUCACAUUGAAUGACGAAUAUGGACGACAUGUAAAAGGGCGUUAAUUUAUUGUGUUUAAAUAAGAAUAUAUCAGUGAUUGAAAAUAAUCUUUUCAAAAGUUUCACUUACGGUUUUUUCGACAAGAUUUUCAGUUCGAAGAUUUGAUUAUUUUAGUGCAAAUAUUGUAAAAAUUAUCAAGGAAUAUGUACAUAAGGUUUUAAUUGCUUUACGCUCCAAAGUCUUAUGUUGCCUAUUUGGCUCUGUUUACUGACGAAAAAUGUAAAAUGCUAAGCUAAAUGUAAAAGCUAGCUAAAAAGUGUAUUAGGACUAAAUUUAAGUCUAGACCUCCACUUUCCUGGUAACACUAUGAGCCAUCUAAUGGGCUCUGUGAAAUAUGGCAUAUGUAUGUACAUAUGUAUAUUCGAAACAGAUGCGAUUCAGAGUUGUUAGCAAAUUGUCCAAAAUUACCAAAAACAAUUUUUGCUUUCUAAAUAAUCAAAUACAUUAUAUGGAUAGCAAGUUAUUUUAAAUAGCUCAGAAACCUAUACGAACCGUGUAAGCUUGAAAGGAGCACAAUAAAAUAUUCGUAGCUUUAGGUCUUUAGACUUUUUUCACUUGCAGAUUUUUGAGAAACAUUUCUUUAGAUGUAAUUUUGGCUAAGAGAAAUUUUUAAAACUUUUUAAAGCAUUUAAAUUUUUAAGAUUCAAAGUAUGGGUUACAGCAAAAAAUUAUCUCUGAAAAUAUUGCGAAUGUUCAUUCGAAU